CUUGCUAAUAAAUCAAAGGCGUGCUGUCAAAUCUUUAUCUCUGGGAGGAAGUUUCUUCUUGCAAGCAAUUAGGAAUUCUCAGCUGCUCUGCAGUUCAGUGGGUUUUCUCUGUAAAUACAAGUUAGCAGAGGUGAGGUGAGGCCACAGCGUGGCUCUUUGCUUGCUGCAGUCACAGCGUCUGCUGUGCCAUGCGCAGCGCUGUAUUCUGAUCUCUCUUACGUCUAGACGGAUAUUCAUAAUGAAAUAGAUGUCUGGAUAAUGAAGUAGACUUUCACAGUCCUAAUGGGAUUGAAGCCUGCAAAGGAUGGAAAAAGAGCAACUUGCACUACACCCUCCAAGGCCCCUGGAUUUCACAGGUUUUUUGGAAUACUAGAUCGGAUUGGAAGAUACUUACGUGAUUGCCAACAGAGCCCUAGCUCUGUGGCUAAACCAGAAGGACUUCUCUAGACUAGGAGAAGAAGGUAUGGAUGUAUCGUUGGGCUCAGAGAGAGAUCCUUGACAAAGGUAGGUACUGCAAGGCUCACUCAGCAAAUUGCCAGAGAGAGACAGGAAUUGCUAAGAGCCUAGACAAAAAGACUGGGAGAGAUAGGGAGAGACAUCUUCUGGAAGCAGCAAAUAUUUGUGUUUGUGGAGCAGGAGAUUCUGCAGAAGUGAAGGGAGAGGACCUAUUCUCUUAUUCCUUUUUGUUGGUUAAACUGGGAAGUGAGAACACUGUCAUGUUCUCUGUAGUAUGUUUUGUGGCUGCCUCCUCGAGCCUGUAUCCACAUAUCCAAAUGCAAGUGUGAACUGUGUGAAACUUGCCUCUGUAGUGAGCCUUCACAUUUUUGUAUUGAUAGCAUUUUACUGGAAAGGUGCAGUUAUAGAUGCUGUUAUGUUAACCAAAUGCAAAAAUAAUGUUUAACCUAUGGUUAGUUUUUGCAUAUAAAUAAAUGUUGUACAAUAUAUUCUAUUUAAUAAGCAAGAUUCUGCUAUCUAUAAGAUGAUGGUCUUCUCUUGGUAGGUUCUUAAAGGAUGUUUUUGUCAUUAUCAAAAAUGUUAGUCUUUCUCUGUGCCGUGCACUGGGAGGCAGCAAAAGGUGAACGGCACAGAAAAUGAACACAGUGUUCUGAAAGGUAAGGAAGGGAAAACAGUCAUCUAAUAUACUACCUUUCCAUCAGUUUGUUACCUCUGAAUUUCCCGAAUCUUAGUCUAUGGAGUUUCCUCACAUUAUUCUGGCUGUAAAUUAUUUAUAUACAUUUCCCCAUCUUUUAUUGCACUCAGUUUCUCAGCUUCCUGUGGGACAUCACUAGCUUCCAGCAAUGUGCUGAGGCACCACCUCUAGAAUCUGCCAGAAAGGAGAGGAGAUGGAGCUAACAAAGUGAGACUCUGGGAUUUGUGCUAGAAUGGAUCGUCAUAGAUGAAUAACUAACAGCAUUUUCUCUCAUUUCUGAAAAAGCUCUGUAGUUUUGUUGGCAUAAUUCAUUAACCAGCAUUUUUGCACUUCAUUAUUAAAGGUAAAUCUUUCUCCUGUUUUCAUCAAUCUCAAUGAAGAAAUCUGCCAUUCAUUCCCGUUAGAAGGCUGUUUCUCAGAGCAUCUCUGCUGGUAUUUUAUUCCAUUCAGUUUAAAAUACCCUGGAGAAGGAAUAUUUCUCUGAAGGGAUGUGGGAGUGAGGAUACAGCCCAGGCCAUCCUGUGGUCAGAUAUUAAUGAAGAUAGCUCUAUUUUCUUUGCAUCCUAUUAUCGCUGGGUCUGUACAGCUCUUAAUUCUUCUUCCUACUCUGUGUUUCACCUUUCAGACGACUACAGACAUGUAAUUACGCCAAACUUUGGCCAAAAUCAGGUUGUACAAUAUAUUUGUCAAUGAGUAGAGCCAAGUGAACCUCCAUAGGAACUGUAGCAUGCCCAAAUGCUGCAUGGAUCCCACGGUUCUCUGUGGUAUGCUUUGGCAGUGAGGUGUGAAUAGUGCCCACUGUGUGCAAUACCCCUGACAGGAGACAGUGCAGAUGCAGCACCUACCUUUUUGCUCCAGAAAGCACUCAAAAGAAGACACGAUUGCCCUUUGGCACCUUCGGAGGCUGUUCCAGGAUGCAUCAUCCCCUAGUUCUAAGCUUCCGUGUCUCUAGAAAACUGGAUGACUCUAGAGAGGAAUUCCAAACUCUUCCCAACUCCUCCAAUUUUGAAAGGCCGUUUUCCAAGACAAAACUUUGUUGAAAAGCGAUGUGUUUAAGAUAGGGGUGUAACUUCUAAUAAUAUGAAACUACAGAAGAAAAAAAAGUGCUUGAAUAUGGAUUUGACCAUGGGACAUUGGAAAUGCAAAAGAAUUUUAGACUUUUUAAUGCAAAUAAGCAAGUUGCAUCAUUCCAAGUUCAUUCAGAGGCAUAUGUUGAAACAACACAAAGCAAUGUAAAUAAGCAGUCCAAAUCACUUGUCAGACGGCUUUACAACAAUGGAUGACUUUCCUUAGUGCCUUAGUGCUGCUCUAUCUGCAAGGAAUCUUCCUGGAGCACCUCUUGAGAGCUGCCACAAUAUCAAGUUAAUUCAUGUUGAUGGCCACUGCCUAUUAGUCACUACUUUGAGAAGGAACAACAGCGACAGGAUACUUGAAAAGAAAUACUGCAGCUGAUGCUUUGCAUUAUGAAAAAUGCCGACAUCUGAUCCAUUUUGAUAUCCUUGAAUAUCUGAUCUUUGGAAAAAUUACAUGUGGAGUUCAGGACAUUGGGCAUUUGCUCCCUGAGUGAUGGAGUCCAGAACCUGUUUAAGGGUCCCAGCAGCCCACCUCUAUUUCAUAGUAGACAACCCCUUGAGUGACAAAAACCUUUUAAAGGGGAAAAAUAACAUGAACAACUCCUUCUAACAUGGUUGGAAUUGAGACCACCUAAGUUUUUGCUCUAAGCUGUUCCUGUACAAUCUGUUUCCCAGGUAAUCUUCAUGUUUAUUUAAGAGAAAGAGAUCAUCCCGCUCUUUCACAGAAGCUCUCUCUUAGCCUUUUGAGGAUGCUCCAGGCUAAUGUAUGGAGCCUAGAGGGUGUAAUUCAUAGUUUGAAACCUAUUACACUCAUGCCUUAUCUUCUAGUGAUUGCUCUGAGCAUCAAGAAUUGUAAGAAAGGAAGGAAGGGCCCCCCAUCUCCUUCUCAGCUUGUGCUGCUCAGCUCCACACAGAAGAGCGUAUUUCUGCAGAAAGGCAGAAGCAGAGCUGUGAGUCACAAAUGAGUCAAAAGGACAAAAGCUUAGUUGGCAAAGACUGGCAUUUUUAUUAUAUAAAAUCAGACUUUUGAGAACUGUCUUUUUAAGCUUAGCAUCCUCCACAAUUCUUAAGUGGGAUUAAGAUGUCCAAAACAAGAUCUCUUCUUCUUUUAAUUACUAUCUACUGACAUUAUUACAGAGUUUACUAUUUGUGUAUGAGUUAAGCACAAGGUGAGGAAUUAUCCUAAGCAACAAUUUUUCCUUGCUUACCAAAGCUUGCAAUGGAGAGCAGAUUGCCUAUCCCUGUAAUGGAUGUACAUGUGUAAGAGAUUUUUAAAUGGCAAAUAACUAGCAGAGCCUUUAUUAUUAAUAUCAAAACAUUAUUUUUUCUUGUACUCUUUUUUCCAGAUGAGUUUUCUGUUUGAAUUCAUUGAAACUUUUUCAUGUAGUUUAUUAGAACCAGUAUAUUGUAUUAAUUUCCCUAAAAAUUCUUCACUUACAAAGCAGCUGAAUAAAUUUUAUAGUGGAAUAAGUUGUGAAGAUGAAUUACUGCCCAUGCAUGUGAACACCACUGAUCAGGAGGUGACACUUUACUGUAGUAGCUCAAUAGAGAGAUAUCA
ensembl:lncRNA